AACGAACGCUGGCGGCAGGCUUAACACAUGCAAGUCGAACGCAUGCCUUCGGGCAUGAGUGGCAGACGGGUGAGUAACGCGUGGGAACCUACCCCUUGGUACGGGAUAGCUCCGGGAAACUGGAGAUAAUACCGUAUGUGUCCUGAGGGACAAAGAUUCAUCGCCAAGGGAUGGGCCCGCGUCGGAUUAGCUAGUUGGUGGGGUAACGGCCUACCAAGGCGACGAUCCGUAGCUGGUCUAAGAGGAUGAUCAGCCACAUUGGGACUGAGACACGGCCCAAACUCCUACGGGAGGCAGCAGUGGGGAAUAUUGGACAAUGGGCGCAAGCCUGAUCCAGCCAUGCCGCGUGAGUGAUGAAGGCCCUAGGGUUGUAAAGCUCUUUCACCGGUGACGAUAAUGACGGGAACCGGAGAAGAAGCCCCGGCGAACUUCGU
rnacentral:rRNA from 1 species